UACAGAGGUCCCAAGCGUUGUUCGGAUUCAUUGGGCGUAAAGGGUGCGUAGGCGGCGCGGUAAGUCGGGUGUGAAAUCUCGGAGCUUAACUCCGAAACUGCAUUCGAUACUGCCGUGCUUGAGGACUGGAGAGGAGACUGGAAUUUACGGUGUAGCGGUGAAAUGCGUAGAUAUUGGGAGGAACACCAGUGGCGAAGGCGGCUCGCUGGACCGGUUCUGACGCUGAGGCGCGAAAGCGUGGGGAGCAAACGGG
rnacentral:rRNA from 1 species